UAACCAAUCAAGGUAUGAGGGCACACAC
rnacentral:piRNA from 1 species